CAUCAUUCUAAUAUAGAACAUGUUCAAAUAUUUGACUGUUUGGGCACUCAAAAAAAUAAAAAAACUUUCGGAACCCGUUAACCCAAAAGCGUAUUUACCACCCCACCGACACCCCAACGAUCUCGUGAUAGCACUAGAGUCACUUUCCCCUCCUCUUUCACCCCGAGCUGAGGCCCCAGGGGCGAUUUUGCCGCCGGCCGCCGUCGAUCUCGGUUCACAGGCGUCGUUUAUCGCCGGUAGGGGGGCGGUAGCCGAGCGGCAUAUGCGGGAAGCGCUCGCGCGGCUGCCGGCCUGCCGCUGGCGGCGGUAGCCGUCGGUUUAGCGGCGAAUCCCGCCGGUAGCGUGGCGAUUUUCGGUGGCGGCAGCGGGAUGCGCCGCUCGUGGUGGCGGUCCGGUAGCGGGAUCCUCUAAUACCGAGCGGUAUUCUGUGUUUUCCGAGCGGAAAUCGGCGCGUUUGGACCGGAAACCACUGCAUUGCAAAUGGUGGAUCCGGUGUGGGAGCAUGGAGAGAAGAGAGGCAAUGGAUGGAAGUGCAACUAUUGCCAUCAACAGAGGAAUGGGGGAGGAGCAACAAGGCUUAAGGAGCAUUUGGCGCAACGUGGGAAGGAUGCGAAUGACUGUCCUUCGGUCCCUCUUGAAGUGAAGACGUUUUUUAACCGUGAGCUUGACAGGAUCAGAGGAAAAAAGAUGGAAAGGGAGCGGUCAAAGAUGAGGGCCUAUGGAGCCUAUGGCGCAUAUGGGGCCUAUGGAGCCUAUACCUAUAGCUCAUAUCAACAGGAUGAGACUGAAGAAUAAACUCUAUGCGGUAUGUAUCGUGUGAACUACUAUGUAUUAUAUAUAUUGACGAUGAUGGUUUGUAAAGACUACGGUUGUGAUGAUUUGUAUGGACUAUGAUUGUGAUGACUUCUAUGGACUAUGGAUGUGAAUUUCUAUUUUUAUGGAUAUGAACUUCUAUUCUAUGUAUGUGUAAAUGUUAUAUAAAUAUUUGAUAUAUACCAUCAGCAAUGAUAUUUACAAAAUUACGGUGAAAUGCU